AGUGAACGCUGGCGGUAGGCCUAACACAUGCAAGUCGAACGGCAGCACAGGAGAGCUUGCUCUCUGGGUGGCGAGCGGCGGACGGGUGAGGAAUACAUCGGAAUCUACUCUGUCGUGGGGGAUAACGUAGGGAAACUUACGCUAAUACCGCAUACGACCUACGGGUGAAAGCAGGGGACCUUCGGGCCUUGCGCGAUUGAAUGAGCCGAUGUCGGAUUAGCUAGUUGGCGGGGUAAAGGCCCACCAAGGCGACGAUCCGUAGCUGGUCUGAGAGGAUGAUCAGCCACACUGGAACUGAGACACGGUCCAGACUCCUACGGGAAGCAGCAGUGGGGAAUAUUGGACAAUGGGCGCAAGCCUGAUCCAGCCAUACCGCGUGGGUGAAGAAGGCCUUCGGGUUGUAAAGCCCUUUUGUUGGGAAAGAAAUCCAGCUGGCUAAUACCCGGUUGGGAUGACGGUACCCAAAGAAUAAGCACCGGCUAACUUCGUGCCAGCAGCCGCGGUAA
rnacentral:rRNA from 1 species